GCCAUAGUUCAGCGGCACAGCAUCUGCUUUGCAUGCAGAAGGUCCCUGGUGUUCAAUUCCCAGAUAGGACUG